GGUGAGUCAACAGCAGCGACAAGAAGACACAAGAAAGAAAGAAGCACGCUGCUCUGUGGGGCUGAGCAGAGGGGAAGCAGAGGGCCACACUGGGAACUUCCAGCCAAAACAAGACCAACAGCAUGGAGGCGGUGGUAGAACCCUAAUAGGCUUCCUACAUAUGACUAUUUUACUUACAAGAAGCUCAUCUCACUUCGGAGUGAACAUAUCCUGGACCUUCCCUAGAAUAAGAAAAUCAUCAAGUACUGUUGAAGACCAGUGAUGACCGGAGAAAAUGUGUCAGAACCGAGAAACUGUUUACAAAGAUGCUAGUGCCUGUUGUGAGGCCCACUUCCUUGUGACUGAAACUAGCAGAUGCCCAGCUCUGCUGCAGGAAUGCUGGCAAGCCCCAGCAAGCAGGGCCUCCUCCAAGGGGACACACAGAGUCCUCCUCUGCUGCUGUUUUCUGACAUGUUGAACAAUCUGCUCAUUUUCUUCUGCUCUGACUCCUCUGGAUAAUGAAGGAACGACCUUCUCUCCAUCCACAGGGCUAUGCCAAGAUAUGACGCAUGCGCUCAGGACAGCAGUGCAGAUCUCUGACACGCCAUUUUUCUCACGGGGAAAGUAUUUGUCAGCCCCUUGGCCAACUUAUUUGGAGAUUCCAGCAAUGAAGGGGGUGUCACGCAAAUGGCACAGAGACCUCUGUUUCUCUUUGAAAGAGACUGCUUUUGAAGGAACACGAAACUGCAAUAAUACCGGCUUGUGUUAGAAUACAACUUCACAUAAAAUGUGUUUUCAGGAAAAGAAGAAAAUUGAAGAGAAACCUGAAGUUGUUUCAAGACUGAUGCUGAGCUAUCCUAUCACUCGUUUCCCUGGAACUUGGGCUGAUGAGAGAAAGUAUCUCUUCCAUUGUCACAAUUUUCUCUAGGUUAUUUCUGAAAAUCUUUACUCUUGUUUCAGGGAUGGGAAACAACAACAAACAAACAAACAAACAAAAACCUUGUUUUCCAUUUCAUUAAACCAAAAAUCC